UUUAUCAGUUUAUGUCAGUCAAUAAUACCGUUUGACGAUUGACGCAAAUCCGAUAUUGCGUUUUAAAGCGUUCUUAGUAUCUGUUUUUAGGUGCCUUAAAGAGUUGUACCACUGCUGCAUACUUCAAAAUGGCUGAUAUUCAUCAACAUUGUAAUGAAUCAGAACUCCGCAUGUGCGUAUUAAGAAAAGGGGGAAAAGAAAGGAAAUUGAAUUCAUCGGUUUGAAACGGAAUCUUUUUUGUCUUUUUUUUUUGCUUGGUUUUACGUCUCAAUUAUUGAUCCCAAACCAAUUGCAGUCACGCGAGCGUUUUGCGUUCCUCAAAUUUUGUCACGCCCGACCAUAUGUCAGCAGAGGAUGCCAGAUUUAAAGGAAAAACUUAAAAGUUAGGGUUGGUGUAAUCUGAGAGAGUCUGAGGUUUCAACCAUUUUGUAACCCAGUUAUUCCUCUCGGCUUGAAAUCAAAUUUAAGUGUUCUGUACCGUCAGUUGUGUGUAUUCUUUUUAUCGAAUCAGUCUGAUGAACUCGAGAGGAGGAUGCAUCGUGAUUCUGUCACUCCUUGUAGGGGGUGCGCUCACAAAAGAGACAGGAGAAAAGUUUGGCAUGGCAGUCGGUGAAAAAGACGGAUCUAUGAAGAUGGAGGAAAAACUUCCAAGGCGUGAAUCAAGUUCAUCCUCCGAGUCAUCUCCAAACCCGACGAAUUUUCCACAUCCCUUUGAUCCGUACGAGAAUUUAGGACAUUAUCAUCAUGCGUCCGCGAUAUCAUCUCAGAACCAAAAUUCUAGAAAAAAUGAUGAAGGGAAGACUUUCCAUGCCCCACAGCCUGGUAGGAAUUCCGGUCCAGCGGACUCGACCAUACAAAUUAAUGGGCAAGAGAUGUCAAAGCAACCCUUGGACACUGUCAGGGAUGAUCUCGAGGUUAAGAGCCGAGAACACGCUUCAGACAGCCUCAAAAGAGGUCAAGAGAAAAUCGUGGACAUACCAAUAGAGGGCGCUGAUGAAACCCUGGACACUUUCGUGGUCGACGAAGAAAAUCCCUCGACCAAUCAUGUUCCCUCUCAAAACGUGAGACCAAAUGAUGUUUCUCCCAGCAACACGGCGUCACUCUCAACGCUCCUACAGGGAAUCAGGGAUUUGCGUCUGACCGUCGGAGAAAUGGACGAGAAGUUUGAUAGAUUAAUAGAAAAGCUAAUUCCAAAUAAUACCAAGGGCAAUCCGAUGAUCAGGAAAGGUGUCGCUUGGUUCAAUAAACUACUGCAUCGUGACAGCGUGCAGGGUCCAGCCAAGGUGCAACCACACCAAGCAGACUCAGCAGAAGGAAAGAACCAUCAAACAAUGAGAUGGAUGGACUACUUUCGCAGCCGGUCUUCUUAAAUGUGAGGACCCUUGAUUAUAAUUUAUUGUGUGACAUCAUCAUGGUAAAAGGAAACUGAACCACCAGUUGACAGAAGUCAAACCACGGAAAAAAUGGAUUGCUAAUUUAACAAUAAAAUUGUCAAAAAAAAGUGACAGACAUGUUUCAAAUGUACAUUUUACAAUAGUGGAAAGCUAAUUCAACCACGGGCGUCGUUGAAUUAGCAUGUUUUUAUUGUAAAAUCUACAUUGAAACGUGUCUGUCACUUUUUUUAACUACAAAUUUGUUAAAUCAGAAAUUUAAUUUUUCCGUGUGCCUACUGAGAGAGGCAAUGGGACGGUUUCCUGUGUCAGAGGAUUGUACAUUAAUGGUUCGAUCUGAAGUGAAGGGAUCAAAGCCAGAUGGUUUCAAAUACAUUAAAAAUUGCAGUGUUUGAUUUGACACUUUUUUUAAAAUUAUUGAAUAAAUGAAGCACUACUGCAAAUUUUUGUCUGAAAUUGGACGCAUUCAAAUGACGGAAGUUUAAUUGAACCAUUUAUGGCAGGUACUGUAAAUUGGACGUAUUUCUAUCAAACGGAACUAUGUGCAUUAUGAUGUGAGCCCUGUUAAGCAUAUAUUCUUAUGGGUCUCAGGGCUCAUGUCUUAAUGCACAUAGUUCCGUUUGACAGAAAUACGUCCAAUUCAGAUGAUGAUUAUCUUUUUUUUCUUCAUUAAUUUCAAACAGCCAGUUUUGGCCAUAGACAGUGAACAGAUACGUAUUUAUGAAAUUAUAAAGGCUGCACAGAAAUUUAGCAUGUAUCCACAAACUUAAAAAUAAAUUUAUCACAACUCUUAUUCCUCCUCUUUUGCUUCCUGUUAUUAUUUUCCCUCCUCUCAUCUUUCUUCAUAUUCUUCUUUUCUUUCUCCUUCUUCACUUCCUCUCACGUCCGAUUUUUUCUUGUUCUCAUCUGACAGACCAUGGCUAAAGUGCGAGACUGCGUAUCUCCGUUUCCAACGUUGUAGAAUGUAGACUUCCCGUUAUACUUCAGUUUUUCCUUGGAAAACUAGUCAACGUAAUUUCUUGAAAACACCCUUGAUUUAUCUUCUCUGCUAGUAGAAUAUUACGUAUACAUUUCAAGCUACAUAUAUGAUGUCGAUUUGUCUCUUUUCGAAAAAAUAAACUAGGAAGGGAGAUAUUGAAACACCGCAAUGGAGAUACGCGGUGUCGCACUACUUAAUAGCCACAGGAGAAAAACAAGGGGGAUUUACGGGAAACAAGGCUAAAAUACAACAUAAAAAAAACGAGACGUUUCAACUCAAAGCUGAGUCAUUUUUCCUCGGAGUAUAAGUUAAAAAUUAAAAAAUAUCGAAGAAAAAAACCCGAGAUCUACAUGUGUUGGUGUCCGAGAUCCGAGAGAAACAAACGGAAAAACGAUAGUUUUCUCGGAUCUCGGCCACAGGUUGUUUCUUCGAAAUUUUUUAAUUUUUAAUUGGACUGCAUUUUGCAAUUUGGACCUAUCAAUUCCGGCCCGGUUUAAAAACAACGCAUGUGCCAUUAGUUUCCGUAUGCACAUAAGUAUUUUUUUCAGAUGAGCCAGAAUUCAUAAGUCCAAAUUGCAAAAUGCAGUCCAAUUUAUUCUCCGACUGAAAAUGACUCAGCUUUGAGUCGAAACGUCUCGGGUUUUUUAUUUUGGUAUUUGUGCCUUGCUUUCCGUUUUUCCCUUGUUUUUCACCUGUUACUAUUGUCUCGGGCUGCUUUGUGUCUGCACUAUAAAUAGACAUCGAUAUAUUAAAAAUUUAAAAAAAAAAAAAAAAAAAAAAAAAAAAAAAAACGUAAGGUCCGAGCAUGUCAAACUGAAAUAAAGUAGGGAAAGUCGAGCGAAUUCAUUGAGAAGCGGCAACCAAGCGCAAUAAUCGAGAUGUAAGCGCCCAAUGG
rnacentral:lncRNA from 1 species